rnacentral:tRNA from 1 species
GCCCCGGCUGGGCCACCGAGGCCGAUGUCGUGGUCGUCGGCUCCGGGGUCGCCGGGCUGACGGCGGCGCUGCGCUGCGCCGCGGCCGGGGCC